rnacentral:rRNA from 1 species
GCUUAGCCAUUAACAAAAACAGUGAAAACACAACACUGUUCGCCAGAGAACUAAAGUAAAAACUUGAAACUCCAAGGACUUGGCGGUGUCCCAAUCACCCUAGAGGAGCCUGUCCUAUAAUCGAUACCCCCCGAUCCACCCCACCACUUCUCGAAACUCAGCCUAUAUACCGCCGUCGCCAGCCUACCCUAUGAAGGACAAAAAGUAAGCAAGACAGUCACUGACUAGUACGUCAGGUCAAGGUGUAGCACACGAAGUGGAAGAGAUGGGCUACACUCUCUUAUUAAGAAAACACAGACAGCGAAAUGAAACGCAACUCAAAGGCGGAUUUAGCAGUAAGAUAACUAAGAAAAUUUAUCUUAAAUUAGCCCUGGGACACGCACACACCGC